UACGUAGGUGUCGAGCGUUGUCCGGAUUUAUUGGGCGUAAAGAGCCCGCAGGCGGCUUGGCAAGUUUGAGGUGAAAUCUCCCGGCUUAACUGGGAGGGGGCCUCGAAAACUGCCAGGCUUGAGGCAUGGAGAGGGAUGCGGAAUUCCCGGUGUAGUGGUGAAAUGCGUAGAUAUCUGGAGGAACACCGGUGGCGAAGGCGGCAUCCUGGACCGGCAUUGACGCUGAGGCGCGAAAGCCAGGGGAGCAAACGGG
rnacentral:rRNA from 1 species